UCGUUGGCAGGGUACGGAGUGCAAUGGAAGUCAUCACCUCAAGGCGAGCUAUCUGGUGUGGCUGCAAAAAGGUACCCUUUUGUACCUGUUGUUGUUGAGGUUGUUGACCCAGUUGUUGUUGAGGUUGUUGGAAAGAACAUUGUCCGAGCUGCUGCUGCGACUGCUGUUGGGGUUGGUAGACACCUUGAACCGACUGUUGGGGUUGUUGCUGCUGAGGUUGGACAAAACCCUGUUGUUGUUCUUGUAGGAUGAUGGAGAAGAUGAUAGCACGGAUUGCCUCAUAGCGGGAUUGUUCGGGGAUUCGUGGCAAUUGUUGGCAACAUUGUUGCUGCAUCACAUUGCAACUGCUCUGCUGCCACAUCUGCGACCUAGCAAGAUGUUGUGGCAUUGCCACAGGGCUACACUGCUGCUGGAGGAAUACCUUGCACGGGUUUAGCUGCUGCAAAAUGGAUGGAUGAACAAUAGGGAUUUGUUGUUGCAGAAGCUGUUGGUGUUGUUGCUGCGAAAAUGCUGGUUGUUGUGGUAGAACUGUUUGUUGUUGCUGCGAAAAUGCUGGUUGUUGUGGUAGAACUGGUUGUUGUUUCUGUGAAAAUAGUGGUUGCUGCGAAAAUGAAGGUUGUUGCUGCAAAAAUGGUGGUUGUUGAGGAAAUGGUUGUUGUUGUUGUGAAGAUGGUGGUUGUUGUGGAAAUGUCUCUUUUUGUUGUAAUGGUUGUUGCUGCCAUGGUCUCUCCAAACCAGGGAUGCAGCUAGUCUCCAUCUGUGCAAUGGCAGAUGUCGCCACAACGGCUAGAAGGGCAAAGACGAGGAAGGUCUUCAUGAUGGAUUGGUGCUAACUAGUUUUGCUUGGUUUUGAUGCUUGUGCUUGUGAUGAUCUUUAUACUUCAUGCCUAUUUAUAGUAGUCCGGGCACCACCUCUUUCCUUCUAUGCAUCAACUUUAAUAAUUCUGUUUGCAUGCAUCAGAAAUGAUUUUUUGGUACAUUGUGGUAGGUUGCACUAGCUACAACGGUACUUUUGGAUUGAUCAUCAAAGUUGCUUUUUAGUUGUGCAUAUGAUCAUACACAAAGUACAGAAAUCCUGAUGUGUGGUAUAUAUGACUCGCCUUAUUCACUUUACAUGUCAAAUACUUAUAAGAAUAGUAUCACUUUAGCAACUGAGUUUGGAACCUUGUAUAGGCUGUCAACCAUAAACAAGAAAGGCAAAACUCGUGUAGAACCUUGUGGGAUGUUAAGAUAUGUUCGAUUAUUAAAGCCCUGCAUGUGGAGGGUUUGUCUAGACUCGGUUGCUUUUUAUAAAACUAACUUUGUAUUGUUCUCUAAGAUGAUAAGAUGAACUGCCGUAUAGAGCAUGACAUAAUUCACAGAAUUCCCUUUACAUGUAAGGAUGGUAGUUGCUUACAAGUUACUAGCAUAUAUCCGGUCCUCACUCUAGAUACGUCAUCAUCAGUUUGAUCUAUUUGUGAAGGAUUUUUCUAGAUAAGAUGAUUCUUUUGGUGGACUAAGUUUGUACUGUUAAGUAAAUAUUUCAUUGGGGCCGCCAGGUCUCUUUUACUAAAUCUUACGGGCAUGAGGUUGAUACUUAAUUGAAUUGUGUAGAACAUAUACACAGAUAACCUAUUGGAAAAUAUUAUAUGUUUGUUAUACUUUUAGGCAAACAUAGUUUGGUUUACUAUGGGGCAUGUUCAUGUGUAUAAUAAUGCAUUUACAUGUAUCGAGGUAUUUCAUCAACCCAAAAGGAAAAGUGCAAACAUUUUAAUAUUUUUCAUGAACAAACCUUAAGAACCUAUUCGUAGCUACCCUGCUAGAUCAUGGACAACAAGCACAUUUUAUUUGUUGGAUUUUGAGAAGGUCUAUAUUGUUCCCCGCAAAAAAAGUUCUAGAUUGUUUCAUGGCAACUUGUUUGUGACCGGCUAUUCUGAAGCAUCUUAUCUAGGUCAUACAUAUGUUUUUUUGUUAUUAAUCUAUUAAUGGCUGAAUGAACAGAUCCUAAAUGAUAAAGAAAAACAAUUCUAGGAUUAUGGGGCAUCUCCACCGCUUGUUUGAAUAAAACCAGAGGAUUUUAUGAUUAUGAUUUUGGUCCGAAAUAUGUUAAUGAUAUGUGCACUCGAUCUGAGCCAAUAUCCGAUGAGCUGAAAACUGUUUAAUGGCCCGUGAAUAAGUUUCUUUUUCUUCAUAUGUAUCAGAAAUCUGGAAUGGUAAUACUACAUACUCAAUUCAAAUUUGAAAAUACAUCAGAUCCCAGCUACAGAGGUCGCCGUGUGUUUCAAAGGGGCCUCUAUCGCAACUCUGGCCGUCCGCAAUUACAUUGGAUGGCACGCUAGUCCGCCAUUCAUCGUGGGGAGCCGCCGGCAGAGCAGGUCAGAGGUCCUGCAAUUGCAACUAGCAGGUUAUUCAUCCAAUCUAUGUCCAUCAGUUAAUGCUUGAUCCUGGAGUAAAUGGUACUUGUAUGGAUAUAUAGUUGCUGAGAGGAAUUUCUUUGCCUAGUGUUUGUUCUGAUUGCUAGCUUGGUUGGUGGAGAAAUCGCUACUUCUUCGUGGUAGGGCAGCAGUGGAGAAUUAGUACAGACAAACUUUGCAAAAAAUUCCGGUGGGUUGAGAAGUACUCCUAGAUUAAGUGGAGAUAGUACUAGAUCUGAUGGCUGCCGGAGAUAGUAGUAGAUGUUAUACUGUACACUAGCACAGUAUGAGGUCAUUCUGUUGUUAUGUACAAAGUCUAUCACUGAGAUGUACAUAUAUGAGUGAUAGCUGCAUAUAAUUUCUUGCAAAAUCCAUGCUUCCUUGCAGGUAGGAGGCCCUCAUGGCGCCCCGUGACGAGCCUGAUCCCUAUUUGGUAUGGUGAGUAUCGAAUCGAAACUCAAAUAUGCUUUCAUCGAUUUGCCGAUCUCACAUUAUAUGAAUCUAAGUGUUGAAUCAGAACUCAAAUAUUCAUUUAUUGAUUUUCCGAUCUCGUAUUGUAUGCAUCUGGCAGGAGAGAUUAUCGCCAGAGGCUGUGGAACAACCUGAAGGACACUUGUGGUUAAGCAGCAGCAGCAGCAGCAGGUGAGGUGUUCAUGCCAGUCAGUUGGUGGUCAGACUGGCACUUGUUGGAUUUGGAUGAUACAGGUGAGGAAGAAACUAAACAAAGACUAGUUAUGUGGUCACCUGGGACUCCGGAUUGUUUUUUGGUGCCAUGUAGUCUUGUUUUGCUGUUAUACACUUGAUAAAUGCCAUGAGCCGUUUUGGCAGUGUUAGAGAUAAUCACGAUUAGGCAUCUGAGUCCGGCACGGACUCGUAGCCCAGGCCGAGUCGGCUGUGUAUAGGUAGAUAGGUAGUGCUAUAUAUACCUGUACGUGGUUCCCCCUGUAAGGAUUAGAUCGAAAAGUAAUAAAAAUCAGCAGGACCGAUACGGCCCUGUAGCCAUCAAGUCGCCGCGUGUGUUUCGUGUGUGUUCCCGGCAACUAGUACUUCGUACGUGAUUGUUGUCUAGCCAGCCAGAGCAAUCGAACUACUUGUGAAUCCUACACUAGCGUUCGUCCAGAAAGAAAUCGGCCGUAGCUAGUUCGUCGUCCAUUGUUCCGCCGGAAAGUAAACAGCGGAUCGCUGCGUCGACAUCCGGACCAGUGCUAACAAUUGGUAUCUAGAGUUUUGGUAUUGACGUGAUUCUCGGGAAGCAAUCGAAGGAUCAUGUAGACCACACGCAAGGAGAUUGUGACGGCGGCAGCGGGAGCACCGAUGCCGAUGGUGGGGGGAUCACAAUUCCCCCGUCUGGAUCGAGAGGACUACGCACUAUGGGCGAUGAACAUGGAGGUCGCGAUGGAGGGAGCUGAGUUCUGGGAAGCCGUCGACCCGGGCGGCGCCGAGUACGCAAAGGGCGCGGCGAAGUACCGGAAGGAUCGUCAGGCGUUAACAGCGAUCUACUCCGCCAUGCCGAAGGAUGUGCUGCAACACCUCGUCGGAAAGAACUCGGCGAAGGAGGCAUGGGAGACCAUCAAGAUCCUGCACCAGGGUCAUGACCGUGUCAAGGAAGCACACCUUCAGUCCCUGAUGAGAAGCUACGAGUGCCUGAAGAUGGAUGAAAGUGAGACGGUUGAUCAGUUUGCCGCCCGUCUCAAGACCCUCGUCAAUGGCAUACGCAGCUAUGGUUCAACCCUAGAAGAAGUUGCGAUCGUACGACGAUUUUUGCGCGCCGCGCCUGCACGCUACAUCCAGAUCGUCACGUCGAUCGAACAAUGUCUCGACCUAAAGACUCUCACGGUCGAGGAUCUCGUCGGAAGGUUCAAGGCCCACGACGAGAGAAUUCGUCUCAGCUUCGGCGAUUCGAAGGAGAGUGAGCAUCUCAUGCUUACAAUGGCUCAAUGGAUGGCCCUGAUGAAAGAAAAGCAAGGUGGAUCCUCGAGCGGCAGUAAAGCAAAGGAGAAGCAACGCCCGGCGAGAAAGGACUUUGCUGGACAGGAAGAAAAGGCUGGAAAACCAAGGAGAAAAUUUGACAUAAAGAAAGUAAAGUGUCACAACUGUGGAAUCCUCGGUCACUUCAAGUCUGAUUGCAAGAAUCCACCGAAGGAAAGAGCUCUCAUGGCCAAGGGAGGCGAUGAUAGCGACAUGAUGCUCAUGGUCGAAGUAUGCGAGCUUAUGGACAAGGUGGGUCCAGCUCCAAAGGCGCCGGCUAUCGAGGUUGUCACGCUCAACGAAGAGAAGGUUUAUCUUCAUGACAAGCAGAGGACGAACACGGCGGGACACGUGUGGUACCUCGACACGGGAGCAAGCAACCACAUGACUGGCGACAAGGACCAGUUUUCUGAGCUAAAUCUCUCGGUGGGAGGCACGGUUCGGUUCGGUGACGGGCGAACCGUUGGCAUCACAGGGCGAGGCACUGUCCUGUUUGAGCUGAAGAACGGCGGUCACAAGGUACUCACAGAUGUGUACUAUAUUCCCAAACUAAAGAGCAACAUCAUAAGUCUCGGCCAGCUUGAGGAGCGUGGUUGCAAGAUUGUGCUCGAAGAUGGCUAUUUAUGGGGGUAUGACCGUCAAAGGAUGUUGAUCAUGAAAGUGCAGAGGUCGCCGAACAGACUCUACAUCCUCAACUUGGAUCGUGUGGAUCCAGUAUGUCUCUUGUCAAGCAUGGAAGACUCGGCAUGGAAGUGGCACGCGCGCUACGGUCAUCUAAAUUUUCAAGCUCUUCGGCAACUUGGACAAAAGGAGAUGGUACGUGGUCUACCGUGCAUCGAUCAUGUUGAGCAAGUGUGCGACGGUUGCCUUGUUGGGAAACAAAGGCGGGCCUCGUUCCCUAGAGAGGGAAACUUUAGAGCAAGUAAAGCUCUUGAGUUGGUCCAUGGAGAUUUGUGCGGCCCUAUUACUCCGGCUACCCCAGCUGGGAACAAAUACUUCUUGCUCAUCGUCGACGACUUCAGCAGAUACAUGUGGAUUGUGUUGUUGAAGACGAAAGAUCAAGCUUUGCAAGCCUUCAGGAAAGUAAAGAUGGCGGCCGAAGUCGAGUCUGAAGCCAAGCUGAAGGCCCUCCGUACCGAUCGGGGGGGUGAGUUCAAGUCUCGUAAAUUCACGGAAUUUUGCGAAGCACAUGGGAUCAAGCGGUAUCUUACGGCGCCAUAUUCACCACAGCAAAACGGUGUUGUGGAACGGAGGAAUCAAACUGUGGUGGCGAUGGCACGAAGCAUGAUGAAGAGCAAAGGGAUGCCGGGCAAGUUUUGGGGUGAGGCGGUCAACACGGCCGUUUAUUUGCUGAAUCGGGCUCCAACCAAGAGUGUGGUUGGGAUGACGCCGUAUGAAGCAUGGUACGGGCACAAGCCCGCGGUUGAUCAUCUUCGCACUUUUGGGUGCGUCGCGCAUGUGAAGACGGUGGCCGGGCAUACUAGCAAGUUGGCGGACCGGAGUACUCCAAUGAUGUUGGUUGGCUAUGAAGCGGGCACGAAGGCAUAUCGUGCAUGCAACCCCUCUAACAAUAAGGUGGUUGUAACGCGUGACGUGGUCUUUGAAGAAGCAAGGUCAUGGAAUUGGAACUCCACCGAGCCGGUAUACCCGAUCUCUGAUGAAAUCUUUCACGUUUUUUACAACGAUUCUGAGCGUGCAGAUAAUAUUGAUCAACCGGACACUUCGGCGGCACGGAGCGAUGCUCGAGACGACGACGCGCGGCGAGACGCGUCAGGGAGUUCACCUAUAUCUGGUGGCGUGCCAGGAAGAGACGCUGCGAGCGGCGCUACAGGCAGCAGCAGCAGUGGAGAGAGAGCCACGUAUCCUGCACCCGGCAGCCCAGCCAGGUGCGCUGGAGGCAGCAGCGGCCCAGCACCAGGCUCUCCACCAGGGAGUUCUUCCCACGAGCCAGAAAGCCCAGCCGCUACCCAAUCUCCACAAGGCCACGUGACAGGAGGUCCAGAAGUGCAUGCACGUGAAGCAACUUCAGAUUUCGUGGCUGGUUCUUCUGGUGCACGUGCAGAUAGCUCAUGAGAGCCCCAAUCGCCAGAAAAUAGAAGCUUGGCAACUUCAGAUGAAUUUUCUUCGUCUUCGACAGAACAGGAGAGGAGGGAACAUCCGCCUACGCCAGUCCGUCUUCGACCAGUGUUAGAUUUAUAUCCGAAGAAAGCGCUUCAGAAGGUAAAUCCAGUGCAUCAUGAUAGGACGAAGCACAUCGACAUACGGUAUCACUACAUACGGGAGUGCGUGGAAGAAAGCAAGAUUGAAGUCAACUAUGUUUGCACCGACGACCAGCUUGCAGAUAUCCUGACCAAGUCUUUGGGGCGGCAGAAGUUUACGGAGAUGCGGGGAAGGAUCGGUGUCAAAGCUGUGAAGUGAGGACAUCGUGCUUAGGGGGGUGAUUGUUAGAGAUAAUCACGAUUAGGCAUCUGAGUCCGGCACGGACUCGUAGCCCAGGCCGAGUCAGCUGUGUAUAGGUAGAUAAGUAGUGUUAUAUAUACCUGUACGUGGUUCCCCUUGUAAGGAUUAGAUCGAAAAGUAAUAAAAAUCAGCAGGACCGAUACGGCCCUGUAGCCAUCAAGUCGCCGCGUGUGUUUCGUGUGUGUUCCCGGCAACUAGUACUUCGUACGUGAUUGUUGUCUAGCCAGCCAGAGCAAUCAAACUACUUGUGAGUCCUACACUAGCGUAUCGUCCAGAAAGAAAUCGGCCGUAGCUAGUUCGUCGUCCGUUGUUCCGCCGGAAAGUAAACAGCGGAUCGCUGCGUCGACGUCGGGACCAGUGCUAACAGGCAGCACUGGUGUCAUUUCAUUGUUGUUUUAGUAGGUGCUUUGGCUAAAAUAGAAAAGAAAAAGAUUAUGCACGCCUAGGUUGUGUCAUGAUUGUUAUCGGCUUUGUUGAACUUCGACCUCUGUCUUCUUCAGAUACCUGUAAUGUGAAUUAAUAAUCUCCUUCCACAUUUCCCAGGUUUAGUAGAAGAUGGUAUGUUCUCGCACCUGUGAAGUAUUUAUCUUGCCAGUUAUAGUGUCAUUAUUUAGUUGAAAUGACAAGGCAUUGACUUUUUAUCUUGUGUUCGGAUAGUACUAUUUGAAGCUGUGAUUUAUCUGUUUCAAUACUGAUGGUACCCUAGUAGUGCUGGUUACUGGGGAGGUGUAUGCGGCAUGUCGAAUCAUUCUUCCGCAAGAGGCCCUAAAGCUUCAAAUUGUUUAGAACCUGUCUGCACUCUGCAGUUUGGAACCUUGCGGAAGGAUGCUGUGAAUUUCUUGGAUAGUGGGCUUCCCUGAUGGCUGCUAGCUUAGGAAUGGCUUCUACAACUGAACUGUACAACAGUCUCUUGACUGAGAAUUGUUGGGGCCUGUGGUGUAGGGCGAUUGCUUGGCGUCAAGUUGAGCUGCAACGCUGAAUCAUACCCUGUCCGACACAGACGAUCUGAUCUCGAUUUAGUUUGCAGCUGAUCCUUUGGGUUGGUGCCCAUGAGGCCAUGACAGGCAGGGGUCAGCAGCAGUUUACUGUCAUCCAUGUUGGCUUUAACCCUGCAGUGCUCUAGUUAUCUGAACAACUUCUUGUUUUUGAAAUGUCAACCGCGGGGGGAUUCCCCCACCUGAACAUAUGUAUAUUUUCAAAAAGAGGCAAUCCUUAGAUCGCGAUCAUACAGAAAAUGUGAAGAGAGGGAUACUGGCAGUUACACAGAGAUUACAAGAUACAGAGAGCAGCCGCGUCAGGUAGCGGGUCCGCUAGAACGGUCUGACUAACCUGCACCACAUUUCCUCUCAAGAUCAUGUUUUUUCUACCCAACCUAAUGAUUUCUGCCUAACAACUUUUCUACAAGGUUUCCAUAUGAAAUUGCAAUCCAAAUUUGUCUUUUCAUCUACCACCUUCAGAUGUACUUCAUCAGGCUGUAGAUGUAUAUCCCGCAGAAAACAUGCUGCAGCAGUGCAGCUGAAGCUAAAAAAUAUAUAUGUUGGUUACUGAAGCUAGGUUGUAAGCACUUUCCACAGUGAAGAUCCAGGCUUUGCCUUGUUUCCGCAUAAUUACCUGAGUUGAACGAUCUGCAUUUCUCUUGUAUCGCUGUUUUCAUAGAGGUCCACGACUCCACAUCACCAUUGUUGGUUUGGAGGGGCGAAUAGCUCCCAUGCGACGUCUUUGGUGUGAAUUGUCUCUCAUGCGACGUCGUUGGUUGUAAUAGCUCUCAUGCGACAUCUGAGUUGGAAAAAAUAGCUCCCAUGCGACACUGCUGCCUAAUCCAAAGACACAUGUUUAAAACUCGAAUCAGGUGAGCAGGACCCACAGCGUGGGACCCACUAACUUAUCCAACUCAGCAUUGGUCAGGUGAGCGGGACCCACAGCAUGGGACACACUAACUUAUCCAGGUCAGCAUUGGUACAAGAGGACACCGAGCCGUGCCCCGAGCCGUGCAGCACCCGAGCCCAUCCUCCCCCCCCCUCCCCGACCGUUGUUGUUCUUCUUCUCCGGCGACGACGCGCAGCAACGCCGUUCCGGGCCGCGACCUAGCAAUGUCGAGCUCCGCUUCAGCCUCCCGCCGCUCAUGGCCGCGCUAUGGCGCAGUGCCCAUGACAAGGUGCCCUGCAUGCCCACGUAUCGCACCCCUGAAGCGGCUAGUCACAACGACCGACAAGAAUGGCAACCUUGGGCGGGAAUUCGUGAAAUGCGAGAGCAAACCAGAGCAGGGAAAGGUGAGAUUUUACUUCUCAAUAUGCCAAUUUUGGUUUUUGUCUCCCAAUUUCAUAUUUGCCCAUUUUUCAUCGGAUUUGGGAUUUAGGGUUCAUCUUUCCGAUUUCAGAAAUUGAAGCAAACCCAUUUUGAGUGGCUAGAUUAGUACAUAGAGUGGAUUCAACUGGAGGGUGCAUCAGGGGAGCUCGAUUUACCGUUGGAGGCGGAGAAGUUGGGCAAGUUUGGAUCGGGCGCGUCUGGAUCUGGGGCCCCUGGAUCUGGCAAUUCCAUUGGGGGCGCCCAUUCCAUUGGUGCUACUGUGGGGGAUGCAGGAGUGACGGCAGAGCUGAAGAAGCUGAACAAGCAGAUGAAGAAACUCAUCGAAUUGCAGAAGCAGGGCAAUUUGAUGGGGCUGAUUGCCGGACUUUUUUAUGUUUGUGUAAUUGCUCUCGCAUUUGUUUAUGUGAUGAUAAUUAGUCGUAAGUGAAUAGACUGGGCAUCAUUUGUAAUCGUAAUGAUAUGGAUAUUUGAAUAAAAGUGUUGAGCUGUACGAAUUCGGCAUGUCUUCUCCACUAUGUUUCGGCCCCGUUUUUUCAGUUCUUCAGUUCGUCAUCAGUUUCAGUUUCAGUGGUAGAGGGAGAAACGGAAAAAAAAGGUUCGUCCACAGUUGCCCGAAAAGGCCAGGCCCAUAUAGAAGUUAGGCAGGGCCGAAUAGAACAUAUCCAGGACCAUUGAUAAAACAAGUGUAGCUAGUGCAAAAAAAAGUGCACACGGUCAUUGACAUGGCGGGCUAUUUCACAAAUUUUAAGUUUCCUGCAGUCACCUUUUUUGAGAUAACUCAUCUGAUAAUUAUUUGAGCUAUUUUUAUGCAUAAGCUAUCGUGUCCGAUGGUAGGGUCCCGUGUUGUUUCGGCUAAGACAAAAGGUUGGUUCUAGUUAGCAGUCUAACUUGCAGUAUUUGUGAACCAAAAAAGUUGCAAGUGUUUGGUUCUAGUUUAUUUCAACCAAGCAUCAUUUUUUAUUUUUUUAUUUGUGCUAUGGUGUUUUCAAAGUUUUUACUCGUGUGUUUCAACCGAAAAAGGUUGUGCCCCUCUCAAAAAAAGAAGACAUCUAGUGUGCCCCUAAUAGCAUCUCCUUACAACAUAGAGGGGCAUCCCCUUACAACAUAUAGUGCAUAAAACAUAAAAAGAAGAUAAUUAACUAGACACGUGCUAACAACAACUUAUAUGAUUGGAUCAUGUUUUAGUGCAUUUUUUAGUUCACAUGGCCACAUAAAUAAAAUGCAAUGGAGAAACUUUAGGCCCGAAAAAACAUUAAUAGAUAGCACGAUAGAGGGGCAUCGGGUACCCUAGUAGCAUAGAUAGAUAGAACAUAUAGAGGGGCAUCCCCUUACAACAUAUAGUUCAUAAAACAUGAAAGGAAAAUAAUUAAAACUAGAUAGAUAGAAGACACGGGCACACACGCCCGAACCAACACAAACACAAGCUAGAUAGAUAGAAAGACUCGCACUCGAACAACUCCUUGGCCCCUCCUCCUUAGCCGGCGCCCCUCACUCGUCGUUCUCCGGCAUCUGGGAGGGGAGGGUGUGCAUGCCGUUGGGGUGAGGGAAGAUGUGGUGGAAGUUGGUGAAGAUGUUGUAGGUCAUGAACGCGAUAAACUCGCAUCCACACCAGGACACCUCGCCGAGGAGGUGGUGAGCGUCGUAGGGGUUGGUGAAGGUGACGUAGAGGCUGAUGACGAAGCCGUUGGCGUUGCCAUCGUACUGCUCGUGGAGGUGGAACAUGGGCAGAGUGCCCGGAGGGAGGUGGCGGUAGCCGGCUUGGAGGAAGAAACGAGCCAGCUCUCUAGGGCCCCUCCACCUUGAGAUGGCCCACACCCUCAGGCUAUUCUCGACGAUGACUCCGGCCGGGUACUCCCUCUCUGGCACGGUGCGAGGGCGACGGUAGGUAGGGCCGUUGAACUGCAUGGUGGCUCGAGUGGUGGAUUUGGCUCGAAAAGAAGAAGCGGAGGAGGCUUGAGAGAUGAGUGUGAGAGGGAUGAGGAAAUGGUGCCCUUUUAUAGCCGCGUUGCAGCCGUGGUCAAUGUGUACACGGUGCCUUCUCGAUCGUUUUCUCUUCUCCGUUCGUACUAGCAUAAGUAAUUGCGGGCAUUAAUUCAAAAACGGCGGGUAGAGCAUCCAAAGAGGCACGGGCAGCACAGGCGAGAUGCAUCGUUUCGUGCACUUGCAUCGGUGACGCCGCGUGGGAAACAGGCCCGUUCAUCCACGCGUGACACUGAAAAAGGAGCUGCACCACCGACGCGUCCGUCCCGUGUCUCAGGUUCAAACAUGCAUUUGUUAAAAUAGCUUAGAUGCGACGUACCUAUACGCUGCGCCCCUGCCGCUGCUUUACUGCGUUGAUGCGUGCAUGCAAGCCCGCAUGCAAAUGGCUAGGCUGCGUUCACGAGCACAGAAUAGCUAGGCUGCGACGUUGCAUGGCAUGCAUGGGACAGGGAUGGCCCACAUGUCAUUGACCCUCUCGCAUGCAGCCCAUCCCCCCUCUCGACGGCCGUGCGCACGCACGCCAGGCUCUGCCGGGCCCGAUCCGCUCGGCCCAACGGUCACUGAGAUGCUCCCCCGCUCAACGUUAUCUGUUCGCCAGAGAGAAAAACGGUGGCCAAUCAGAUUGGAGAAUCAGGGCUCCCACUGAUCGCCCCCGCGGAAUCCUUCUAGAAGGCCUAUCCGACGGCCGCAGUUUGGCGUUAGGGUUAGAUCGACGGUGGACGUUUGGCGCUAGGGUUACAUGGGUUUUGGAGGCAGUCAACGGGGUUUUGAAAGGUUUGACCGAACAUUCAAAUGUGUUUAACUAAUUCAAAAAAAAUCUAAAAAAUGAAAAACCUGCGCAUAUAGUCUUGUUAUGUUACAUAGUUAUGAUAUAAAAUGAUAAACUUGAUCUAAUGAUCUUUGCAUGAAAAAACCUUCACAAAUUGGACUAUCUCGACUCAGGUUGCAUAGAGUUCGAAGGAGUGAGAAGAGGGUUUGAGGGUUUGAAAAUGCAAAAAAUCAAAAACCUCACCUUAGCUUCAUUUUGGAGUGACUAAGGAGGAUCUGAAGUUAUUUUGCAUUUUAAAUUUUUAAACUUGUUUUAUUGCUGACUUUGUAUUAAAGGGUGUUUUUUCAAAAAUAAAUUAAUAAUAUGAAUACUUAUUCAAAAAAAGGUGAGACUUCGUAUUGAUCCUAUAUAGGUAUAAUAUAAGCUAAGAAAAUCUUUUUUUGUGAUUUUGAGAAGGUCGAAAAAAACUUGCUUAGAAAUGGGGUCCUUUUCCCUUACUUUGGAGCCUGUUUGGACAACAUUUUCAGUGACUAUGAGUUGGACUUCACAAAAAGGGUUGGAUUUAUGAACUAAAGUGCAUAGUAGUACAUAAAACAAUGCCACAUCACAGAACAAACAAAUGAACUCCAAAAAUAUUGGAGAUAGGUUCAAAUUUGAAUGUCGUUUCAAAUUUGAAUUUUAUUUCAAGUCAAAUCAACAUCAUAGCACAUAAGUUUUCACAUGAAAGAACAUAAGUUUUCACAUCAAAUGACAACAAACAUAAGUUUUCACAUCAAAUUUGAAUGAUUUCGACUCUAUUUCUUUUUCUUCUUUCUACCACUCGAUUUCUUCUCCUUUUUUCCACCGUUUGGUCCCACGGCGCAUAGUUUGUUGAUGCUGAUGCUCUUGCUUUUUGGCCCCUUGGUUUUCUUGCCAACUCCACUAGGCCCCCUCAACUUUUGCCCCUCACCAUGUCCCACUUCUUCAGUUUGCACUUCUGCGGCUUGAGUAGAUGGCACACAUUGUUCAACUACUUCAGUUUGCAACUCAACGCUUGGCAGCACAACCUCCAAACAUGGCAACACAGCUGUCAAAGCAGAUUCGCAUGGCAGCACAACAGUUGCUUCAUCUGCAACAGUUUCAGAUUGCCCUAGCACUAGGCCCCCUCAACUUUUGCCCCUCACCAUGUCCCACUUCUUCAGUUUGCACUUCUGCAGCUUGAGUAGAUGGCACACAUUGUUCAACUACUUCAGUUUGCAACUCAACACUUGGCAGCACAACCUCCAAACAUGGCAACACAGCUGUCAAAGCAGAUUCGCAUGGCAGCACAACAGUUGCUUCAUCUGCAACAGUUUCAGAUUGCCCUAGCGCCUGCAAAACAGAUUCAGUAUGCAUCACAUCGUCCAAAACAGAAACACUUAGCUCAUGUUCAGCAGUAACAGUUUCAGUUUGCUCCAU
rnacentral:lncRNA from 1 species